AUUGAACGCUGGCGGCAUGCCUUACACAUGCAAGUCGAACGGUAACGCGGGGCAACCUGGCGACGAGUGGCGAACGGGUGAGUAAAGUAUCGGAACGUGCCCAAUAGUGGGGGAUAGCCCGGCGAAAGCCGGAUUAAUACCGCAUGAGACCUGAGGGUGAAAGCGGGGGACUCGCAAGAGCCUCGCGCUGUCGGACGCGGCCGAUAUCAGAUUAGGUAGUUGGUGGGGUAAAGGCCUACCAAGCCGACGAUCUGUAGCUGGUCUGAGAGGACGACCAGCCACACUGGGACUGAGACACGGCCCAGACUCCUACGGGAGGCAGCAGUGGGGAAUUUUGGACAAUGGGCGCAAGCCUGAUCCAGCAAUGCCGCGUGCAGGAUGAAGGCCUCGGUUGUAACG
rnacentral:rRNA from 1 species